rnacentral:rRNA from 1 species
ACAUUAGUGGCGGACGGGUGAGUAACGCGUGAGAAUCUGGCUUUGGGUUCGGGACAACCACUGGAAACGGUGGCUAAUACCGGAUGUGCCCUUGGGUAAAAGGUUUACCGCCUGAAGAUGAGCUCGCGUCUGAUUAGCUAGUUGGUGUGGUAAGAGCGCACCAAGGCGACGAUCAGUAGCUGGUCUGAGAGGAUGAUCAGCCACACUGGGACUGAGACACGGCCCAGACUCCUACGGGAGGCAGCAGUGGGGAAUUUUCCGCAAUGGGCGAAAGCCUGACGGAGCAAGACCGCGUGAGGGAGGAAGGCUCUUGGGUCGUAAACCUCUUUUCUCUGGGAAUAAGAAAGUGAAGGUACCAGAGGAAUCAGCAUCGGCUAACUCCGUGCCAGCAGCCGCGGUAAUACGGAGGAUGCAAGCGUUAUCCGGAAUGAUUGGGCGUAAAGAGUCCGUAGGUGGUGAUUCAAGUCGAUUGUUAAAGAGCGGGGCUUAACCCCGUAGAAGCAGUGGAAACUGAAUCGCUAGAGAGAGGUAGGGGUAGAGGGAAUUCCCGGUGUAGCGGUGAAAUGCGUAGAGAUCGGGAAGAACACCAGUGGCGAAGGCGCUCUACUGGGCCUCAUCUGACACUGAGGGACGAAAGCUAGGGGAGCGAAAGGGAUUAGAUACCCCAGUAGUCCUAGCCGUAAACGAUGGAUACUAGGUGUUGUCUGUAUCGACCCGGACAGUGCCGUAGCUAACGCGUUAAGUAUCCCGCCUGGGGAGUACGCACGCAAGUGUGAAACUCAAAGGAAUUGACGGGGGGCCCGCACAAGCCGGUGGAGUAU